rnacentral:misc_RNA from 1 species
GUGAAUCAUCGAAUCUUUGAACGCAAAUUGCACUCUCCGGUUUUCCGGGAGGGUAUGCUUGUUGGAGGGCAAGCCUAAAAAAAAUCGGCUUAGUAGUGUGCUGUGUUUUUCACGGUAACGGUGGUCGGAAUUUGGGUCAUCUUAAACCGAAAGGUUUUUAAGCGACUUAAAUUUUUCUUACGUUCUGGCGCACGUGUCUAAGAUUUU